rnacentral:rRNA from 1 species
GUAAUAGCUCACUGGUCGAGUCGGCCUGCGCGGAAGAUGUAACGGGGCUAAACCAUGCACCGAAGCUGCGGCAGCGAACGUAUCACUUAAAGCGAUUCAGCGGGUUACGAUUGACGGAGCGAAGCGACGUCAAAGCGUAUACAAAGUCGAGUCGGUUUAAGGAUACGUUCGUUGGGUAGGGGAGCGUUCUGUAAGCCCGUGAAGGUGGCCUGUGAGGGUUGCUGGAGGUAUCAGAAGUGCGAAUGCUGACAUAAGUAACGAUAAAGCGGGUGAAAAGCCCGCUCGCCGGAAGACCAAGGGUUCCUGUCCAACGUUAAUCGGGGCAGGGUGAGUCGACCCCUAAGGCGAGGCCGAAAGGCGUAGUCGAUGGGAAACGGGUUAAUAUUCCCGUACUUGGUGUUACUGCGAAGGGGGGACGGAGAAGGCUAUGUUGGCCGGGCGACGGUUGUCCCGGUUUAAGCGUGUAGGUGUGUGUUCCAGGUAAAUCCGGUUCACUUUAACACUGAGGCGUGACGACGAGGCACUACGGUGCUGAAGCAACAAAUGCCCUGCUUCCAGGAAAAGCCUCUAAGCAUCAGGUAACACGAAAUCGUACCCCAAACCGACACAGGUGGUCAGGUAGAGAAUACCAAGGCGCUUGAGAGAACUCGGGUGAAGGAACUAGGCAAAAUGGUGCCGUAACUUCGGGAGAAGGCACGCUGACACGUAGGUGAAGUGAUUUACUCAUGGAGCUGAAGUCAGUCGAAGAUACCAGCUGGCUGCAACUGUUUAUUAAAAACACAGCACUGUGCAAACACGAAAGUGGACGUAUACGGUGUGACGCCUGCCCGGUGCCGGAAGGUUAAUUGAUGGGGUCAGCGCAAGCGAAGCUCCUGAUCGAAGCCCCGGUAAACGGCGGCCGUAACUAUAACGGUCCUAAGGUAGCGAAAUUCCUUGUC